CAAUGCAUUCAGUGUUUGCAUUGCAAUGUGUUCUGGGUGUGCAAUGCAAUCAGUUCUGGGUGUGCAAUGCAAUGCAAUCUGUGCUGUGUUUGCAUUGCAUUCAAUGAUUGCAAUGCAAUCAGUUCUGAGUGUGCAAUGCAUUCAGUGAUUGCAAUGCAAUCUGUGCUGUGUUUGCAUUGCAAUCUGUGCUGGGUUUGCAAUGCAAUGCAAUGCAAUGUGUUCUGGGUGUGCUUUGCAAUGCAAUCUGUGCUGUGUUUGCAAUACAAUGUGUUUACUAUGUGCAAUGCAAUGCAAUCGGUUCUGUGUUUGCAAUGCAAUGCGUUCUGGGUGUGCAAUGCAAUGCAAUCUAAUCGGUAUUUGCAAUGCAAUGCACUCAGUGUUUGCAAUGCAAUCUGUGCUGGGUGUGCAAUGCAAUGCAAUGCAAUGUGUUCUGUGUUUGCAAUGCAACGCAUUCAGUGUUUGCAUUGCAAUCAGUUCUGGGUGUGCAAUGCAAUCUGUUUUGGCUUUGCAAUGCAAUCAUUUCUGGGUGUGCAAUGCAAUGCAUUCUGUCUUUGCAAUGCAAUGUGUUCUGGGUGUGCAAUGCAAUGUGUUCUGUGUGUGCAUUGGAAUGCAAUCUGGUCAGUCCUUGCAAUGCAACCUGUUUGGUGCUUGCAAUGCAAUGCAAUCUGUUGGAUAUUUGCAAUGCAAUUCAAUCUUUUGGGUAUUUGCACUGCAAUCUGUUGGGUACUUGCACUGCAAUGCAAACUGUUGCAUAUUUGCACUGCAACCUACUUGGAAUUAGCAAUCCAAAGCAAUCAGUUUGGUGUUUGCAUUGCAACCUGCUUGGAAUUUGCAACGCAAUGCAACCUGUUUUGUAUUUGCAAUGCAAUGCAAUCUGGUGUUUGCAAUGCAAUCUCCUCAGUAUUUGCAAUGCAAUGUGUUCAACGUGUGCCAAGCAAUGCAAUCUGUUCUGUAUUUGCAACGCAACUGCAAAAUGCAAAGCAACGUGCUCCAGAUUUGCACUGCACUGCAACGCAGUCAGCAUUCGCCUUGCAAAGUGUUUGGCGUUUGCCUUGCAAAGCAAUGCAACCACUUUGGGGUUUACAAUGCAGUUGCACGCUGCAAUGUGUUGUGCAUGUGCAAUGCCAUGCAAUCAGUUUGGUGUUUGUAAUGCAAAGCAAUCAGUUUGGUGUUUGCAAUGCAACCUGCUUGGUGUUUGCACUGCCAUGCAAAGCAUUCCCUACAUGCAUUGCAAUGCAUUGUAAUGCAAUGCAACGAGUUCCGUGUUUGCAAUGCAGUGCAUUUGACAUUUGCAAUGGAAUGCAAACUGUUCACUGCUUGCAAUGCAAUGCAACCUGGUUGCUGUUUGCAAU
rnacentral:lncRNA from 1 species